rnacentral:rRNA from 1 species
AGUCUGCAACUCGACUACAUGAAGCUGGAAUCGCUAGUAAUCGCAGAUCAGAAUGCUGCGGUGAAUACGUUCCCGGGUCUUGUACACACCGCCCGUCACACCAUGGGAGUCGGAAAUGCCCGAAGCCGGUGGCCCAAUCGAGAGAAGGGAGCCGUCGAAGGCAGGCCGGAUGACUGGGGUGAAGUCGUAACAAGGUAUC